UACGUAGGCAGCGAGCGUUUGUUCGGAGUUACUGGGCGUAAAGCGUGCGUAGGCGGUGGUCCAAGUCUGGUGUGAAAUCUCCCGGCUUAACUGGGAGGGUGCGCCGGAAACUGGGCCGCUGGAGUACGGGAGAGGCAAGCGGAAUUCCAGGUGUAGCGGUGAAAUGCGUAGAUAUCUGGAGGAACACCCGUGGUGCAGACGGCUUGCUGGACCGUGACUGACGCUGAGGCACGAAAGCGUGGGUAGCAAACAGG
rnacentral:rRNA from 1 species